rnacentral:rRNA from 1 species
UGGGGAAUAUUGGACAAUGGAGGAAACUCUGAUCCAGCAAUUCUGUGUGUGUGAAGAAGGUUUUAGGACUGUAAAACACCUUUAGUAGGGAAGAAAAAAAUGACGGUACCUACAGAAGAAGCAACGGCUAAAUACGUGCCAGCAGCCGCGGUAAUACGUAUGUUGCGAGCGUUAUCCGGAAUUAUUGGGCUUAAAGGGCAUCUAGGCGGUAAGACAAGUUGAAGGUGAAAACCUGUGGCUCAACCAUAGGCUUGCCUACAAAACUGUUGAACUAGAGUACUGGAAAGGUGGGUGGAACUACACGAGUAGAGGUGAAAUUCGUAGAUAUGUGUAGGAAUGCCGAUGAUGAAGAUAACUCACUGGACAGAAACUGACGCUGAAGUGCGAAAGCUAGGGGAGCAAACAGG